CCUUCCCUCGCUACGGCCUCACGCUGCUGCACUUUUAAAGCUCCUGCUGUUCAUUAGGUCUCUGAUUAGGUUGAGCAGAUAAGGAUUCCUCUUUCCAGGGUCAAAAGUGAAGUGUAAGCUGAAACGGUUGAACUAACCAGGCAUAUUUAUGUCUAAGUCAUAAAACUUUGGCAAACACUCCUUUAGAUUUACAGGGUGUGCAGGUUUUUACUCCAACCCUUCUCUAACAAUCAGCUGCUCAUCAGAACCUUUAGGUUUGGCCACCAAUGGUGGAAAGAAACCAACUCGAUGAGAGAUUUCUGCGAUAGUGUACUAUGGGUAUGCGGUUGAGUUACGUCCUCUUAUCUCCCAUUUCUCCAACCCCCUCAACCCCCAAACCUAGUGGCCUAUCAGAGCUGAACUAGGUGCAACUCCUUUACCCAUGAGGCCCUGCAUGAUAGUCCUAGUCCUAGAGGGUUGCUACAAUUUAAACAAAUAUAUAAAGACAUAUAAACUAUAUAGAAACUAUAAUACCGGUACCCUGAAUGUCUUACCUUGUUUAUGUCUGCAGCAGGCUUGUAGUGAAGUGAGCAGACUACUGAUGAGCCUAUUGAUUCUGUGUUGUUUGACUUUGUCCUCUCUAGCUGUCACCUCCCUCUCAACCCUCAACAGGGUCUUCACUAGUUACCACCCCGCCUACUUCUAAAAUGUAUCUUCUGAAUCAAAUGUGAUUUUAAACCUAACCUUAAUCCCACUGCUAAACGUAUGCCUAACCUUAAAUUAUGACCAAAAAUGUUAUUUUAGUUUUCAGGAAUUUUUACGAUAUAACCAAACUACAGACUUAUAGCCAGAUGUAUACUUUGUGGCUGUGCUAUCUAGUGGAAGCCCCUCAACAGUCGCCUCAGAAUGGAAAGGGAAUGUGAUCUACGCUUGGAAAGUGAAACUCAAACUCCCGCUUCUUUCUAGUGAUGUGUAUCCCAUCAUACCCAGGUCCCAUACCCGUCAUUGUAUCCCAUCAUACCCAGGUCCCAUACCCGUCAUUGUAUCCCAUCAUACCCAGGUCCCAUACCCGUCAUUGUAUCCCAUCAUACCCAGGUCCCAUACCCGUCAUUGUAUCCCAUCAUACCCAGGUCCCAUACCCAUCAUUGAUAGAUUUAUAAACACUGCGUCUUUCCCUUGGCCUUGAUUCAAAUGUGGGUGUGUUCCCUUGACUCAAAUGUGUGGUUGAUAUUUUAAAGCUCCUGCUGUUAUUAUCAAUUUGUUAUUUAUCUCAGCUUUUUCUGGGACUUGAAAGCUCUCGAGGGCCUGCCCCGUUUGAGACUGUAAUUAUGCAAUAUGGCCACACGAUGUCAUUACACUUCUUCAAAAGUUUUGCUCGCUAGAUUUGCUUUAUUGUCGUGGUGAUUCUGUUUAUUUAUUUAUUAUUAUGUUGUUUUUUUAUAUGCUGUAAUGGUCUCCAAAUAAAUUGUCAUCAGUGUUCUAACCUAUUAAAAAUAGGGUAGUGGGUGGUAUCUUGCCCCCUGGGGGUAACUUCCCCCACCCCCUGUAAUUCACAUUAA
rnacentral:lncRNA from 1 species